CCGGGUACAUACACGCUAAUAGGAUUAUUUCAUCUCUAAGAACACAUUGUUACCACCAGAGACAUGAACACAAUUGAAAAUCCUUUUCUAAAAGGUGCAACGUAUAAAAAACGUAUUAAAAGCGAAUAAGUAACAGGAUAUUAUCCGAGCGCUGGAACGGGUACAUACGCGCUAAUAGGGUUAUUUCAUCUCUAAGAACACAU
rnacentral:lncRNA from 1 species